rnacentral:rRNA from 1 species
CUUGGUCAUUUAGAGGAAGUAAAAGUCGUAACAAGGUUUCCGUAGGUGAACCUGCGGAAGGAUCAUUAUUGAAUGUAAACGGAGUUGGUUGUAGCUGGCCUCUUUACUGAGGCAUGUGCACGCCUUCUCUGUUCAUCCACACACACCUGUGAACUUGUGAGACGGAUAGCCCUCUCGGGGGCCGUCCGUCUGCUACACAUAAACUCUUAUAUAUAAAUUUGAAUGUAAUUGAUGUAACGCAUCUAUAAACUAAGUUUCAACAACGGAUCUCUUGGCUCUCGCAUCGAUGAAGAACGCAGCGAAAUGCGAUAAGUAAUGUGAAUUGCAGAAUUCAGUGAAUCAUCGAAUCUUUGAACGCACCUUGCGCUCCUUGGUAUUCCUCGGAGCAUGCCUGUUUGAGUAUCAUGAAACCUUCAAAAUAAAUCUUUUGUUCAUUCAAUCGAUUUUAUUCUGGACUUGGAGGUCUGCAGAUUCACGUCUGCUCCUCUUAAAUUUAUUAGCUGGAUCUCAGUAAGCUCGGUUCCACUCGGCGUGAUAAGUAUCACUCGCUGAGGACACUGUAAAAUGUGGCCGGGGUUGCAGAUGAACUGCUUCUAAUAGUCCAUUCACUUGGACAUUUAUUUAUGAUCUGAUCUCAAAUCAGUAGGACUACCCGCUGAACUUAAGCAUAUUAUAAGCGAGGAA